ensembl:lncRNA
CAUACAAUCCAUAAUACAGUAGAAAAAUCUAUAUACAGUAUGUGCAAAUGAGGUAGGAUAAGAGUGGUAAGGCAAUAAAUAGGCCAUGGUGGCGAAGUAAUUACGAUAUAGCAAUUAAACACUGGAAUGGUAGGAUGUGCAGAAGAUGGAUGUGCAAGUAGAGAUACUGGGGUGCAAAGGGAGCAAGAUAAAUAAUUAAAUACAGUAUGGGGAUGAGGUAAUUGGAUGGGCUAUUUACAGAUGAGCUAUGUACAGGUGCAGUGAUCUGUGAGCUGCUCUGACAGCUGGUGCUUAAAGCUAGUGAGGGAGGUAAGAGUCUCCAGCUUCAGAGAUUUUUGCAGUUUGUUCCAGUCAUUGGCAGCAGAGAACUGGAAGGAGAGGCGGCCAAAGGAAGAAUUGGCAUUGGGGGUGACCAGUGAGAUAUACCUGCUGGAGCGUGUGCUACGGGUGGGUGCUGCAAUCGUGACCAGUGAGCUGAGAUAAGGCGUGGCUGUACCUAGCAGAGACGUGUAGAUGACCUGGAGCCAGUGGGUUUGGUGACGAGUAUGAAGCGAGGGCCAGCCAACGAGAGCAUACAGGUCACAGUGGUGGGUAGUAUAUGGGGCUUUGGUGACAAAACAGAUGGCACUGUGGUAGACUGCAUCCCAGUUUGUUGAGUAGGGUAUUGGAGGCUAUUUUGUAAAUGACCGCCAAAGUCGAGGAUCGGUAGGAUGGUCAGUAUUACAAGGGUAUGUUUGGCAGCAUGAGUGAAGGAUGCUUUGUUGCGAAAUUGGUAGCCGAUUCUAGAUUUAAUUUUGGAUUGGAGAUGUUUAAUGUGAGUCUGGAAGGAGAGUUUACAGUCUAACCAGACACCUAGGUAUUUGUAUUUGUCCACAUAUUCUAAGUUCAGAGUAGUGAUGCUGGACUGGCGGGUGCGGGCAGCGAUCGGUUGAAGAGCAUGCAUUUAGAUUUAAUUGCAUUUAAGAGCAGUUGGAGGCCACGGAAGGAGAGUUGUAUGGCAUUGAAGCUCAUCUGGAGGUUAGUUAACACAGUGUCCAAAGAAGGGCCAGAGGUAUAUAGAACGGUGUCGUCUGCGUAGAGGUGGAUCAAAGAAUCAUCAGCAGCGAGAGCAACCUCAUUGAUGUAUACAGAGAAGAGAGUAGGCCCGAGAAUUGAACCCUGUGGCACCCCCAUAGAGACUCCCAGAGGUCCGGACAACAGUCACUCCGAUUUGACAUACUGAACUCUAUCGGAGAAGUAGUUGGUGAACCAGGCGAGGCAAUCAUCAUACAUAGAUACACAAUUGGUGAAAUCAGGGUGACAAAAAAAUGGUUGAGGUGUGUUCAAAGCCCUCCCUCAAGACUAUAGGAGAUGAACAAUGAAAUAUGUAAGCGGAACAAAAAAUUAUAUCUGAAAGGACUAAUCUCGUUUAUCCCAUUUUUAGUGUGUUGACAACAUGUUUCACUUCACAAACACCCAGUAACAUAUUACAGCCAGUCUAAUAUUUCAAUGAAUUUUGACCUAUGAAAUAUACCUUCAGAUAUUCAUGAAUUUAGAAAAGCCCUUUCUGUGAUUACUGUCCAAACUUAUCAUAACCAUUGUCUUUUUGUUGUUGUUGCCAUUGUAAACAAAUGUCCUGUUCUGCUUGAAAUUGAUCUUCUGAUAUUCAUAUCAUCUCAUUCCUAUCAUAGAAAUAAAGUGGUAUUUAUGUUGUAUGUAAACAAGAUAUAACAGAUGCAGUUGGCACACAAUAAUAAUUAUUGAAAUGUGACUUAAGGGAAGUGAAUGUCUUUUCAGGUAAUGGAUUGCAUUUAAUUUAAUUUCUUCAUUAAUCCGGUACAGAAAACGAACCCAGCAUUUUCUUCAUUCAAAGUAUGAGUAAUAGUGAAUUACAAAACAGUAUAAAUACACCAUUCAGUUACAAUAAGUAUUAGUGCAGUAAGUAGAAGGAAUAACUAUCAAGAUUCUUAAAAUCCUGUUGAUAAUUGGUAGAACAGCUAUCUUUUUUUUACAUUAUCCUCAAGCUGUUCAAUAAAUAGUAUACAGUUCUAAUAAUAAAUAUGAUUACAUUGUUGGUAAGUUUCCCUGUCACAGUGGUGAUCAGUUAUAUCAGUAUUAGUCAAGCAGUUGUGACAACAUAACAAGACAGAUGAGUAGACUUGUCUUGUAGCUUAUUCCACUGGAGGUGGCAGCAUUGUUUAUUGUUGAUUCAACAACAGAUGUUGUUGAAGCAGCUGUGUUUGGUGUAGGACCAGCUGUUGUUGUUGUUGUGGGGGUGGCUGUGGUUGUUGUGGUGGCUGUGGUAGUUGCGGCAACUGUGGUGGCUGCAGAAGUUGUAGUUCCUGUAACACCACAGAGGUUAUCUCAUAAAAAUGUACCCAAUAUAGAGUGCCAUGAGUCAAUGUUGAGAGUGACGACAAGGUCAGCAGUGAUGGCUUAACUUACUUGCAGUAAUGGAGGUUGUAUCAAUGUCGAGGAAGGUGUUCCCGUGAGACAGAGAGUCAUUCAAUCCCUGCUCUACACUCGUUACAUUGGGAACCACUGUCUGGUUCUUGAAAAUAAGGGUCAUGUUGACAAUAAUUGAACCACUCCUGUAAACAAGGAAAUAUAGAAAGAUUUAGUUUUCAUUUCGAGGUCAGAUCUUUUUUUGAUGUUUUUUUUAAACCUUUAUUAACUAGGCAAGUCAGUUAACAAUGACGGCCUAAAACCGUUGUUUCCAUGAAAGUAUUAAGAAAACAAGACAAUGUAUAGUAAUUAUUUGUAUUUGUUUUCUUAAUAUAUUAUUCAAACUUAUAUCACUGUUAUUUCGAGAUAAUUCUAUUUGAAUGGAGAGAUUCAUAGACAUACAGAAAACAAUUAUUGUUACUUACGUGAACUGAAUAAUCCUACACCUUACGUAUGUUAAAGGGUAAAUUAUUUUGUAACCACGAUUCACCUGUAAAAAAAGAAACAAAUUAGCAUCAAUAAUUUCAACAGUGAAGUCAGUGACACAAUGUUAUGGACACAAUGUUGUUAAAAGAUGAGCUGAUUACCUCUGUGGUCACAUUUUCUGCCAGUUCCUGAUAUGCUGUUGUGGAAGAAUCAGUAUAGUCACUUUGGAAUGCACGGAACAUUCUGAAUCCUAAUCCCAUUGACCCCUCAAUCGCUGUCGGUGCCGCUGUUGACUUAGUUGUGGUAGCGGUGGCUGUGGUGGUUGUGGGAACAAUUUUGGUUGUCGUUGGUACAGUGGUGUUUGUGGCAGCAGCUGUGGUUGUCGUCACAGAAGUUGUGGCUGUAGUCGAAGCAGUUGUGGUAUUCGUUCCAGCAGCAGUGGUGGUGGUGGCAGCUAUUGCUGUAGUAGCUCUGGCUGUUGUAGACGCAGCUGUGCCUGUUGUAGUAGCAACUGUGGUAGUCCUGUUGCCAGCUGUGGAUGUGGUGGGGGCAUGUGUGGUUGUAGUUGGAGCAGCUGUUGUUGUAGGGGCAGCAACUGUGGUUGUGGUGGCUGCUGCAGCAGUUGCAGGUGUCAUUGUCAUGGCAGGAACUGUGGUGGUCAUCAUGGAUGUAGUUGAGGUUGGAGUUGGAGCAGCUGUGGUUGUUGAAUAAGCAACUGUGGUAGUUGUGAUGCCUGCUGUGGUUGUGGUGGCGGUACCUGUGGUUGUGGUGGCGGCACCUGUGGUUGUGGUGGCAGCACUUGUGGUUGUUGUGGGAGAAACUGUGGUUGUUGUGACUCCAUUUGUUGUUGUAGUUGGAGCAUCUGUGGUUGCUGUGGCAGCAGCUGUGGUUGUUGCGGGAGAAACUGUGGAUGUUGUGACUCCAUUUGUGGUUGUAGUUGGAGCAUCUGUGGUUGUCGUGACAUGAGCUGUGGUUGUAGUAGGAGCAGUAGUGGUUGUGGUGGCAGCUCCUGUGAUUGUGGUGGUUGCUGCUGUUGUUGUAGUCGAAGCAGCUGUGGUUGUUGUGACCGGAAUUGUGGUAGUUGUCAUGCCAGCUGUUGUGGUCGUGGGGGGCGCUUUGGUUGUGGUUGCAGCACCUGUGGUUGUUGUGACAGCAGAUGUGGUUGUUGUGGGAGAAACUGUGGAUGUUGUGAGUCCAUUUGUGAUUGUAGUUGGAGCAUCGGUGGUUGUCAUAACAGGAGCUGUGGUUGUAGUAGGAGCAGUAGUGGUUGUGGUGGCAGCUCCUGUGAUUGUGGUGGUUGUUGUAGUCGAAGCAGCUAUGGCUGUUGUGACCGGAAUUGUGGUAGUUGUCAUGCCAGAUGUGGUGGUCGUGGGAGCAGCUGUGGUUGUGGUUGCAGCAUCUGUGGUUGUUGUGAAAGCAGCUGUUGUUGUUGUUGCAGCAACUGAGGUUGUGGUUGCAGCGGCAGCCGUUGCAGGUGUCGUUGUCAUGGCAGGAACUGUGGUGGUCAUCAUGGAUGUAGUUGAGGUUGUAGUUGGAGCAGCUGUGGUUGUUGAAUGAGCAACUGUGUUAGUUGUGAUGCCUGCUGUGGUGAACGUGGCGGCACCUGUGGUUGUGGUGGCAGCACCUGUGAUUGUGGUGGUUGCUGCUGUUGUUGUAGUCGAAGAAGCUGUGGUUGUUGUGACCGGAAUUGUGGUAGUCGUCAUGCCAGCUGUGGUGGUCGUGGGGGCAGCUGUGGUUGUGGUUGCAGCACCUGUGGUUGUUGUGAAAGCAGCUGUUGUUGUUGUGGGAGAAACUGUGGAUGUUGUGACUCCAUUUGUGGUUGUAGUUGGAGCAUCUGUGGUUGUCAUGAUAGGAGCUGUGGUUGUAGUAGGAGCAGUAGUGGUUGUGGUGGCAGCUCCUGUGAUUGUGGUGGUUGCUGCUGUUGUUGUAGUCGAAGAAGCUGUGGUUGUUGUGACCGGAAUUGUGGUAGUCGUCAUGCCAGCUGUGGUGGUCGUGGGGGCAGCUGUGGUUGUGGUUGCAGCACCUGUGGUUGUUGUGAAAGCAGCUGUUGUUGUUGUGGGAGAAACUGUGGAUGUUGUGACUCCAUUUGUGGUUGUAGUUGGAGCAUCUGUGGUUGUCAUGAUAGGAGCUAUGGAUGUAGUAGGAGCUGUAGGGGUUGUGGUGGCUCCUGUGAUUGUGGUGGUUGCAGCUGUGGUGGUCGUGGGGGCAGCUGUGGUUGUGGUUGCAGCACCUGUGGUUGUUGUGGCAGCAGCUGUGGUUGUGGGGGCAUUCAUUGUUGGGCUUUGGGCAUUCCCUGAUGCUGUUGCAAAUAAAAAAGCAUAGAUUUUAGAAUAUCUUUUAGAAUUUCAUAAUGAUCUACAAUUUAAAGACUAGAGAAUGAACUUACCUAUAAUCAUAAGAAGGACUAUGAGAAUUUUUCUGUUCAUCUUUGAAACUGUUUUCUUUUUAGUCUGUGGUCACAGAGAGAUGGGCACACAUGAUUCAUUUAAAGGCAAAAGACAAACAUUUAUCAACAGAAUGACUUUGACCAAUGCAAUAUAAACUUGAAUAUUGUGGAAAGAGAUCGCUAAUGGUGAAUGCAGUAAUUUUGUCUGUUUAUGUACAGUAAGUCUUGUCUGUGAUGUUUUUAAACAAGUGAUCCACAACUUCUUUGUCUUGAUAUUUAAUAUUUUAUUAAUUCACAUUUGUAUUUUUUACUUUUAUUUAUUAUUUUAACCAUGAUUUAUUUAUCCAGGAAGUCCUGUUAAGGUCAGAAGGCGUAUUUUAUUUAUUUAGACCUGGCUAAGAGGUCAGCUGAAUUAAAACACAUAGAUACGCUACAGUGCAUGUGUUAUUGUAUAAUCCGUACAUGUAUAGACUUACCACUAAAUCUGUAGAUUUACAAAUGAGAAUGUAAUCCUUCGAUUUAGUGUUUUUACACAUUUACCAUAACACAUACACAGCAGAGCAAAAACAUGAAUAUGAAUGACUGUAAUUACCCACCAUCAAUCAUAAAACACAUGUAGUCAUUAAGAAUUGAAACAUUUGCACACCUCCUGCAGCAAGUCUGAAACUAUAGCCUUGAAUUCCUCUAUCAGGACAAAGCACUCUAGGUUAAAGAAGAUGAUUCCUGGACCAAGGGGUCAGAUAUUCUGAUCAGACCCUUGGUAACUGGAAUAAGAAUUUCACUAGAGAUGAUUUGAGAUGAUAAAAUGAAUCCAUGGCUGAACAAGGACAAGGAACAGCGGUAUAGAGUGAGUUUACGAGUUAUAGCCUUGUCAGUUAACAUACACAAAUGUUUCUUCCAAAAGUUCACUUUUA